rnacentral:misc_RNA from 1 species
GUCACUCUGAACACUUCUUUCCUAAUUUACGAUCCAUUUUAAUCCUCUAAUGGAUGAUGGAUCUGCUCUCUUAAUCACUUUCAAGAUCUUUUAACCUCCGAAUUUAAUCAUUUUCUUUCCCCUUUUCUUCCUGAUUCAGUAGAUUUUAUCGGGAAAUUUUUCAGAGAGGAGGGGAAGACUACUAGAGGAGAGGAGAGAGUUAGAAAUGAAGGUUCCGUGCUGCUCCGUGUGCCAAACACGGUACAACGAGGAGGAGAGAGUUCCUUUG